UACGUAGGGUGCAAGCGUUGUCCGGAAUUAUUGGGCGUAAAGAGCUCGUAGGCGGUCUGUCGCGUCUGCUGUGAAAACUCAGGGCUUAACCCUGAGCUUGCAGUGGGUACGGGCAGACUAGAGUGCGGUAGGGGAGACUGGGAAUUCCUGGUGUAGCGGUGAAAUGCGCAGAUAUCGAGGGGGAACACCGGUGGCGAAGGCGGGUCUCUGGGCCGUAACUGACGCUGAGGAGCGAAAGCAUGGGGAGCGAACAGG
rnacentral:rRNA from 1 species